rnacentral:rRNA from 1 species
UUUUAGGGCCAUACCACCCUGAAUACCCCUGGCUAAUCUCAGAAGCUAAGCAGGGUCAAGACCUGGUUAGUACUUGGAUGGGAGAAUCUAAUCUAGAACCCUUAGAG